rnacentral:rRNA from 1 species
UACGUAGGGGGCUAGCGUUGUCCGGAAUCAUUGGGCGUAAAGAGCGUGUAGGCGGCCCGGUAAGUCCGCUGUGAAAGUCGAGGGCUCAACCCUCGAAUGCCGGCGGAUACUGUCGGGCUAGAGUCCGGAAGAGGCGAGUGGAAUUCCUGGUGUAGCGGUGAAAUGCGCAGAUAUCAGGAGGAACACCGAUGGCGAAGGCAGGUCUCUGGGCCAUAACUGACGCUGAGAAGCGAAAGCAUGGGGAGCGAACAGG